GUACUCGAGUGGCGAACGGGUGAGUAACACGUGGGCAACCUGCCCUCAGCUUUGGGAUAACUCCCGGAAACGGGUGCUAAUACCGAAUAUUGACAUUUCCUCGCAUGGGGGUUUGUUGAAAGUUUUUUCGGCUGGGGAUGGGCCCGCGGCCUAUCAGCUUGUUGGUGGGGUGAUGGCCUACCAAGGCGACGACGGGUAGCCGGCCUGAGAGGGCGAUCGGCCACACUGGAACUGAGACACGGUCCAG
rnacentral:rRNA from 1 species